AGUCGAGCGAGUCUGCCUUGAAGAUCGGAGUGCUUGCACUCUGUGAAACAAGAUACAGGCUAGCGGCGGACGGGUGAGUAACACGUGGGUAACCUGCCCAAGAGAUCGGGAUAACACCUGGAAACAGAUGCUAAUACCGGAUAACAACAGAUGAUGCCUAUCAACUGUUUAAAAGAUGGUUCUGCUAUCACUCUUGGAUGGACCUGCGGUGCAUUAGCUAGUUGGUAGGGUAACGGCCUACCAAGGCGAUGAUGCAUAGCCGAGUUGAGAGACUGAUCGGCCACAUUGGGACUGAGACACGGCCCAAACUCCUACGGGAGGCAGCAGUAGGGAAUCUUCCACAAUGGACGCAAGUCUGAUGGAGCAACGCCGCGUGAGUGAAGAAGGGUUUCGGCUCGUAAAGCUCUGUUGUUGGUGAAGAAGGACAGGGGUAGUAACUGACCUUUGUUUGACGGUAAUCAAUUAGAAAGUCACGGCUAACUACGUGCCAGCAGCCGCGGUAAUACGUAGGUGGCAAGCGUUGUCCGGAUUUAUUGGGCGUAAAGCGAGUGCAGGCGGCUCGAUAAGUCUGAUGUGAAAGCCUUCGGCUCAACCGGAGAAUUGCAUCAGAAACUGUCGAGCUUGAGUACAGAAGAGGAGAGUGGAACUCCAUGUGUAGCGGUGAAAUGCGUAGAUAUAUGGAAGAACACCGGUGGCGAAGGCGGCUCUCUGGUCUGNNNCUGACGCUGAGGCUCGAAAGCAUGGGUAGCGAACAGGAUUAGAUACCCUGGUAGUCCAUGCCGUAAA
rnacentral:rRNA from 1 species